ensembl:lncRNA
UAAAGCCCUCUUCCUCCCCAGACAACCCACCCAUGGUCCUCACUGAGGUAAACGGCUCUCUUCCUCCCCAGACAACCCCCCAUGGUCCUCACUGAGGUAAACACCUCACCGCCCUCUUCCUCUGACACCCCCCCAUGGUCCUCACUGAGGUAAACAGCUCUCUUCCUCCCCAGACAACCCCCCAUGGCCGUAAACAUCAGCUGGUGUGUAAACUCUGGUUCUUGGUAGGGGCUGUUGAUUCAGCCCCCCUCUGUUGAGGGAGGGGCAGUUGAUUCAGCCCCCCUCUGUUGGCAGGAGGGGCAGUUGAUUCAGCCCCCCUCUGUUGGCGGUAGGGGCUGUUGAUUCAGCCCCCCUCUGUUGGCGGUAGGGGCUGUUGAUUCAGCCCCCCUCUGUUGGAGGAAGUGGCAGUUGAUUCAGCCCCCCUCUGUUGGCGGUAGGGGCAGUUGAUUCAGCCCCCCUCUGUUGGAGGUAGGGGCAGUUGAUUCGGCUGCGCUGAGUGCGUUCCCAUUUUGAACCACUUCAUGUGUCUGAAGGUACAAACUCCGCCUAGCCGCCUGGCCCAGAGAACAAAUCAAGUGCACUUUUUGGCCUACCUCUGGCCAAUCCGAUAGCUCAGAUCAUGGUGUCUGCAGCCUCCAGCAGCCCACAGUGAGAGGAUGAGAGACUGUCAGCGAAUACAGCCGCUGUUUUUAGGACUUGAUGUUUCAACGUCGUCUUCAGCGCUGUCAACACUUUAUUCACCCUUGUUGCC